rnacentral:rRNA from 1 species
AUUGAACGCUGGCGGCAGGCCUAACACAUGCAAGUCGAACGGUAACAGAAAGCAGCUUGCUGCUUUGCUGACGAGUGGCGGACGGGUGAGUAAUGUCUGGGAAACUGCCUGAUGGAGGGGGAUAACUACUGGAAACGGUAGCUAAUACCGCAUAACGUCGCAAGACCAAAGAGGGGGACCUUCGGGCCUCUUGCCAUCGGAUGUGCCCAGAUGGGAUUAGCUAGUAGGUGGGGUAAAGGCUCACCUAGGCGACGAUCCCUAGCUGGUCUGAGAGGAUGACCAGCCACACUGGAACUGAGACACGGUCCAGACUCCUACGGGAGGCAGCAGUGGGGAAUAUUGCACAAUGGGCGCAAGCCUGAUGCAGCCAUGCCGCGUGUAUGAAGAAGGCCUUCGGGUUGUAAAGUACUUUCAGCGGUGAGGAAGGGAGUAAAGUUAAUACCUUUGCUCAUUGACGUUACCCGCAGAAGAAGCACCGGCUAACUCCGUG